rnacentral:rRNA from 1 species
GACGAACGCUGGCGGCGUGCCUAAUACAUGCAAGUCGAACGCAGUGGGGACGGGUGAGUAACACGUGGGUAACCUCCCAUCAGAGGGGAUAACACUUGCAAACAGGUGCUAAACCGAUACUGAUUGUUGGUCCCGCGGUGCAUUAGCGAGUUGGUGAGGUAACGGCUUACCAAGGCCACGAUGCAUAGCCGACCUGAGAGGGUGAUCGGACACACUGUGACUGAGACACGGCCCAGACUCCUACGGGAGGCAGCGGUGGGGAAUCUUCGGCAAUGGGCGAAAGUCUGACAGAGCAACGCCGCGUGAGUGAAGAAGGUUUUCGGAUCGUAAAUCUCUGUUGUUGGAGAAGCGGUAUCUAACUAGAAAGCCACGGCUAACUACGUGCCAGCCGCCGCGGUAAUAC